rnacentral:rRNA from 1 species
UACGGGGGGGGCAAGCGUUGUUCGGAAUUACUGGGCGUAAAGGGCUCGUAGGUGGCCAACUAAGUCAGACGUGAAAUCCCUCAGCUUAACCGGGGAACUGCGUCUGAUACUGGAUGGCUGGAGUAUGGGAGAGGAAUGCGGAAUUCCUGGUGUAGCGGUGAAAUGCGUAGAUAUCGGGAGGAACACCAGUGGCGAAGGCGGAGACCUGGGCCGAUACUGACGCUGAGGUGCGAAAGCGUGGGGAGCAAACAGG